GACGAACGCUGGCGGCGUGCUUAACACAUGCAAGUCGAACGGAAAGGCCCUGCUUUUGUGGGGUGCUCGAGUGGCGAACGGGUGAGUAACACGUGAGUAACCUGCCCUUGACUUUGGGAUAACUUCAGGCAACUGGGGCUCAUACCGGAUAGGAGCUCCUGCUGCAUGGUGGGGGUUGGUAAGUUUCGGCGGUUGGGGAUGGACUCGCGGCGUAUCAGCUUGUUGGUGGGGUAGUGGCUUACCAAGGCUUUGACGGGUAGCCGGCCUGAGAGGGUGACCGGCCACAUUGGGACUGAGAUACGGCCCAGACUCCUACGGGAGGCAGCAGUGGAGAAUAUUGCACAAUGGGCGGAAGCCUGAUGCAGCAACGCCGCGUGCGGGAUGACGGCCUUCGGGUUGUAAACCGCUUUCGCCUGUGACGAAGCGUGAGUGACGGUAAUGGGUAAAGAAGCACCGGCUAACUACGUG
rnacentral:rRNA from 1 species